AAUCUUCCGCAAUGGACGAAAGUCUGACGGAGCAACGCCGCGUGAGCGAAGAAGGUCUCCGGAUCGUAAAGCUCUGUUGUUAGGGAAGAACAAGUACCGGAGUAACUGUCGGUACCUUGACGGUACCUAACCAGAAAGCCACGGCUAACCUCGUUCCAGCAGCCGCGGUAAUACGUAGGUGGCAAGCGUUGUCCGGAAUCAUUGGGCGUAAAGCGCGCGCAGGCGGUCCUUUAAGUCUGAUGUGAAAUCUUGCGGCUCAACCGCAAGCGGUCAUUGGAAACUGGGGGACUUGAGUGCAGGAGAGGAAAGCGGAAUUCCAUGUGUAGCGGUGAAAUGCGUAGAGAUAUGGAGGAACACCAGUGGCGAAGGCGGCUUUCUGGCCUGUAACUGACGCUGAGGCGCGAAAGCGUGGGGAGCAAACAGG
rnacentral:rRNA from 1 species